rnacentral:tRNA from 1 species
GUUAGAAAAGCUUUUAGAAGCCUUGGUUUUGUAAAUCAAAGAUUGAAUAAAUUAUUCUUCUAACA